rnacentral:tRNA from 1 species
GGCGGCGUGGUGUAAUGGCUAACACAUCAGUCCGGUCUACUGAAGAAAGAUGCUGGUUCGCUCCCAGCCGCCGAAU